rnacentral:rRNA from 1 species
CUGAUUAUAUUAAAGAGCCGCAGUAUUCUGACUGUGCGAAGGUAGCAUAAUAAAUUGUCUUUUAAAUGGAGGCUUGAAUGAAAGGUUGGACAAAGUAUCAUCUGUUUCUUAAAUAUUUAUUGAAUUUGACUUUCAAGUGAAAAGGCUUGAAUAAAUUAAAAAGACGAUAAGACCCUAUAAAUCUUUACAAUAAGCAUGUUCUAUAUUUUAAUUUAUAAGUGUAUAAAAUAUUAAAUUUGUAUUUGUUUCGCUGGGGCGGCGUGGAUAUAUUAAUAAACUGUCUAUGUGUUAAAUCCAAUAAUUAUUGAUUAGUGAGAUUGAUCCUUAAAUAGAUUAAAAGAUUAAGAUACUUUAGGGAUAACAGCGUUAUUUUUUUUGAGAGUUCUUAUCGAAGAAAAAGUUUGCGACCUCGAUGUUGAAUUAAAGUAUCUUUAUGGUGCAGCCGCUAUAAGAGAGAGUCUGUUCGACUUUUAAUACUUUACAUGAUCUGA